rnacentral:rRNA from 1 species
UGCAGUCGAACGAUGAUCAGGAGCUUGCUUCUGUGAUUAGUGGCGAACGGGUGAGUAACACGUGAGUAACCUGCCCCUGACUCUGGGAUAAGCGUUGGAAACGACGUCUAAUACUGGAUACGACUUCCGGCCGCAUGGUCUGGUUGUGGAAAGAUUUUUUGGUUGGGGAUGGACUCGCGGCCUAUCAGCUUGUUGGUGAGGUAAUGGCUCACCAAGGCGACGACGGGUAGCCGGCCUGAGAGGGUGACCGGCCACACUGGGACUGAGACACGGCCCAGACUCCUACGGGAGGCAGCAGUGGGGAAUAUUGCACAAUGGGCGAAAGCCUGAUGCAGCAACGCCGCGUGAGGGAUGACGGCCUUCGGGUUGUAAACCUCUUUUAGUAGGGAAGAAGCGAAAGUGACGGUACCUGCAGAAAAAGCACCGGCUAACUACGUGCCAGCAGCCGCGGUAAUACGUAGGGUGCAAGCGUUGUCCGGAAUUAUUGGGCGUAAAGAGCUCGUAGGCGGUUUGUCGCGUCUGCUGUGAAAUCCCGAGGCUCAACCUCGGGCUUGCAGUGGGUACGGGCAGACUAGAGUGCGGUAGGGGAGAUUGGAAUUCCUGGUGUAGCGGUGGAAUGCGCAGAUAUCAGGAGGAACACCGAUGGCGAAGGCAGAUCUCUGGGCCGUAACUGACGCUGAGGAGCGAAAGCAUGGGGAGCGAACAGGAUUAGAUACCCUGGUAGUCCAUGCCGUAAACGUUGGGCGCUAGAUGUAGGGACCUUUCCACGGUUUCUGUGUCGUAGCUAACGCAUUAAGCGCCCCGCCUGGGGAGUACGGCCGCAAGGCUAAAACUCAAAGGAAUUGACGGGGGCCCGCACAAGCGGCGGAGCAUGCGGAUUAAUUCGAUGCAACGCGAAGAACCUUACCAAGGCUUGACAUACACCGGAAACGGCCAGAGAUGGUCGCCCCCUUGUGGUCGGUGUACAGGUGGUGCAUGGUUGUCGUCAGCUCGUGUCGUGAGAUG